UGCCGUCUCUGGGGUCACACAGAGUCGGACACGACUGAAACGACUUAGCAACAAAACACACACACACACACUCACACACUCACACACACUCACACUCACACACACUCACACACACACAAUCUCAUUAACCAGUUGCUGAGAAUGGUAGAUGCUGGUGCUUUUUCACAGAUUCUGAAAUUUAUUUUAUUUCAGUUACUUAGAAAUAAAGAGACACCACUCAGAGGGAUAAGUUUUGUAUUUGCCAGUGGAUAAAAGAGGCAGUAAAAUCCACUAGAUCUUCGAUUACUCUCGAAAACCACCUUUGAGGAUGAGGAAACCCGAGGUCACGUUUCCUCCUUAAGAAAAAGUCUGGUGGAUAAAGGCCUCAUUGUUCCAUAGUUUGAUGAUUCUCAAGGGAAAUGUAUUUUGAAAAACAUUUACUUCCUGACCUACUAUGCGCAGGGCUGUGUGAGGGGAAAAAAAACGAUGACUGAGAUGUAGUGGAAUUGCUGUAUACAGAGCACCCUGGCUCUUUAGACCGCAGGUGGUACAGAGUCCCACGUGAAUUCUCCUUGAGAGGCUGCAGAGGCGGUCCUGGAGUGCCGCUGUUGCUUAACGUCUCUGAAAUCUCUCACAGGAAUUUGCUUUUAGAGCCCUGGCACAUUUUUGCUGAAGACUUUUUUUAUGCUGAUGGUAUUCUUAGAAGGUGGAUUUGAUUUGGGGGACUGGCCAAGAACUGUUCAUCACUGCGUCUACCACAUAGGUGGUGACCAAAUUGGCUAGAAUAAUGUUUGGUUAAAAAUAAGCCAGGACCGUAAGUUAUAUGACAGGUUUUCUUGUGUGUCAUGUAAACUGAUGAUGGAGGCGAAGGCAGCUCCAAAAGAGGUUUUCUGUAAGUUUUUUGCUCAAAACCAGUCCAAAAAAUUCCAGUCUCACUGGAAUAUCUCUGUACCUUCCCAAAAGGGCUGCUUGGAAGGGAGUGGUGCUUAUCUGUGCAUAUGUUAUAAUAGGUGCCCUUAAAGAACCUUGUAAAUACUUACCUCUUGGUAAACCCAGUUUUUUUUCCCCCCUUUUAAAUGUUAUGGCCUUCUACCAAGCUCAGGGAUAUAUUUCUUCCAAGAAAAUGAAACGAGUUAAAUCUACUCUAAGGAGACUUUAAUGGGAAAAAAUACCUGUUUAUGCUGUCUUUAAAGUUAGCUGGAUGGAAACUGUUGCUUCAUUGUUGACUAUGAUGAUUUUACCAAGAUUUAGGGGCAAAUAAAUUGCCCGCCCAUUGUUGAAAUUAGAAUGAAAGUGUUCUGUGUGUACCUCAUUCAUGCAUUCCACAAA
rnacentral:lncRNA from 1 species